CCCCCCUUUCUCUCCUGUGGCCCGUGAGAGGAGCCCUGGACUGGCGACGGCACCGUUGUACCAGGCGGAUGGCGAGGAGUGAGGCCGAAUCACAUCGGUGGAAGACGGAUCCACUGUUGUCGGCAUUGGGGUGACUUGCGCCGACGAGGUUCCUCGAUCCCGCCCACCACAAGCCCGUCCUUCGACAUCCUUUUUGCCCGGUCGCCAUCCUCGCCGUGGGAACCACGACGGCCACCCACCACGGCGGGUUGCAGCUCACGGUCGGCGCCGGAUCCGGCGACUCCAAGCACUUCCGCAACCAGCUGCCUCUGAUAAACGGCGAUUAUCCUCUGAAGAUUUGGGAGCGUCGAAAGAAAUCGGGGCUGACAAUGUUCUCUGUUUUUUUCGAAUUUUUGCUCAGCUUGGAUUUUUGUUCAGUGUUAGAUUUGUGAAGGUGAAAUCUGUUGGGAAACGUAGCAAUAAUUUAAAAAUUUUCCUACA